rnacentral:lncRNA from 10 species
AGAGAGAGGACUGAUUAAACCAAGUACAUCUAUGCAAUGGAAUAUCCUGAAGCUGUUAGAACAUGAAGGGCCUAUAAUGUAUUGAAGAUCUUAACAUAUCAUCAAGACAUGUCAAGUACAGAAACAGAAAGGUUAUGAAAAGACUGUGGCUUCCAUCUUGGGGCUCACCCUCUCUUGCUAGCUUGCUGUGAGAGAAACCAACUCGGCCAUGUCGUGAGCUGCCUAUGGAGAGGCCCACAGGGCAAAUAACUGAGGGAG